GUCCUGGCUCAGGAUAAACGCUGGCGGCGCACAUAAGACAUGCAAGUCGAACGAACUUAACCAUUAGUUUACUAUUGGAGCGGUUAGUGGCGGACUGGUGAGUAACACGUAAGCAACCUGCCUAUCAGAGGGGAACAACAGUUAGAAAUGACUGCUAAUACCGCAUAUGCCUUAGAAUCACAUGGUUCAAAAGGGAAAGGAGUAAUCCGCUGAUAGAUGGGCUUGCGUCUGAUUAG
rnacentral:rRNA from 1 species